rnacentral:lncRNA from 1 species
AAUGAUAGAGCUCGAGAUGAGCAUUAUAAAUUAAUUAAAAAAUAAAUACAGCUUUUUUCAAUGUGUACAAAGUAGUAUAAAUAUACAGCAUUUUUCUAGUAAGCUCAGCAUAAGUUGAGCUUAAAAACGUUUACCUUAUCUGAGCCGUUGAAUAUUGUUGCAGUUAAUCUAAACCGUCACUUUAUUAUGUUAUUUUUUAAUCAUUUGUUGACACACAUAUCUAUACAGAGAUUGGACGGUUGGAAGACAAGAGCACUUUUGAACUCAUUUAAGAUGAGUUUUUCUGAAUUUUAUUCUAUAAAUAUAAACUAUUGUAACACAAGGAAAUUUAACUAGUGAAUUUAUAAUUCCCUUACUAACUCCGAUCAUCUCCCUCCUUCAUCUUCUCCAAAUCUCAACCUUUAACACCUCUGAUUUUCUCAAUUUUUUUCUUACUCUAACAAGCUCAUCUACUGGUACCAAUCGUUACAACUCUCGAUCGGUCGACGUUCUAAAGAUUGCAAAAUCGAUCGUGUACAACUUCAUUUGAGGGGGACCAGAAGGGUAUCUCAUGGAGGCAAAAUGACUGUCAAGGAGGAAUGGAGGAUUAUGCCUAAGGGACCCAAAGAUUUUGUAUAAGGCAGUAGCAAUCAGACGAACCAUAAAAAUAUGGUCAGGGCAAGGCUCAAUCUGAGCAGAUUGGAUGUUCGGUAAGUAUAUAGCGGGGUGACUCCCCGAUGUAGGUGGAAGAAUUAUAUAUAAAAUUGAAGAAAUCGAUCGCGCAAGUAACGAUUUUGGGUGCCAAUCGAACAACCCCUUCAAUUGACCUGGCAAAGCUCUCUAUUGACGUUCUGUACGAGUCUCUGCUCCCGACCACUAUGGCUGACCCUUUUGCACCAGCUAUUUGGUCCUGUAAAACAUCCAAAUUCUCUAUAUCACUUUGGCGAAUUUGCUAGAACAAGUCAAGGAGGAUGACGAUAAUGGUCGGCUGAAAGUAGCCCAAGUAUAACAACAGUGAUCGGCCCACAACCCAAGUUCGACUAGGAUCCAGCUUGGAUCAAGGCACGAGUCCGACCCGACUUUGGCUCGGAUUCGCCCUGCGGACCUGACCCGAUUCCGGCCUAAGCCUAGGCCCAAGCAAGGAUCCAGCUGGCCCAGGCCCGGGCCCACUAGAAUGGCAACAAUGCUAUUAAUACUACUGCUUACCUCAUAGUAGACAGGAGGUUACUAACGAGUCUAUAGUAAACACUAGUGAGAGAGUGAGAGAGAGAUUUCCGAUCGACUGUAACGACCACCUCAUUAGUCUUGCAUCAUUAUAGGCUUAUCGGAAAAAAAAUUAUAUAAAAUAUUAAAAAUCUCAAUCCCUAAAUUCUGAUUGGUAUUGGAUUCACCAUUGGGUGGGUACCAUCAACAUCAUUGUCAAAAAUAGGAAAUAUGAUUUGUACAGGUAAUAUAGGGACCGCUUGUUACUCAAAAUAGUGGAAACCAAAAACCAGAAUAGUAGGUUUGAAACACACUUAAAAUUUGCAUAAUUAUACUAUGUCAAUCUGGAAAGUAGAAUCGCUAUAUUUUGUAUUAUGUGAAAAAUGAGAAAUAAGAAAACUAGGGUUAUUAAUUAUGAUCAUCUUAAUUUAUACAAAAUAAUCUUUAGUUACGAUUUAUAAGAUUCUAACUACUAAUUUUAUUUUGUAAAAAUUAUAACUAAACCCUUCACUUAAUACACCCUCUCAAGUUGACGGUGGUCUGUCAAUUAACUUAUUUUGGGUGCAGCAAUUCGUGUUAACACGAUAAGACACGAUUUAUUUUAUGUAAACACAAACACUCAUUACAUAGAAUGUGAAUAGAAGAUUGUUUUCCUCCGAUGAGAUUGUAGUCUCUUAUGCCAUAAUCAUGCAGAUGUGGAAUUUGCUUUAGCUACUUCAGUUUCUUUUUCCAUGCUCUCAGUAGAUAGAAUAUAGAGUCUUUCCUUUUUUUUACCCAUAAAAAUUAAAUUCAUCUUUGAAUCAUGUAUCAAACAAUAGUCAUGGUAGAAAGAAAAAGUAGAACAAUUUUUUUUUUAAGGCGAUUUUGAUUAAAUAGAAAAUUAAGAGAUUACAAACUAAUUAACUAAACAACUAAAAGUAGAUAAGAUGUAUGGAAUAGAUGUAGCGUGCUAGUCCUCGGCUUGUAGGUCAAAAACCAAUAGCGAGGUUUCCUCCUAUCUUCUGGUAGUUGUAUUUGUCGCUCGUCGGAAGUGGAAAACUGUUGCUCGCGAAAUGAUCUCACUCGCGGUCACUGGGAGGCGUGGAGCCGAGGUCUCACUCGAGGUCAUUCGAUCAAGUUAAAAAAGAGGUUAGGAAGGAGGUUUGAUCUGGAGGCUAGACGUGGAGUGCAGCUGAUCUGGGGUGACCUCGCUCGCUCCCCAUUUCUCGCUCUCGCAUGCUCGCUCUCUUCUAGUCCCUCUUUCUCGGUCGAUCGCCGUCAGGGCUCGCUCGCGGUCAGUGAUAGGACUUCAACUCGCGCGUUGGCAUGGCUCGCUCUCGCUCGCUCGCUGGCACCGGUCUUCAACUCUCGGUCGAAUCGCCGACCGGGCUCGCUCGCGCUUACUGACAUGCCUUCGCUCGAGGUCAGGCAACCUUCCCUUCGAUUUGCGAUCAGACGAAUGCUUCUACUUCGCGCGAUUCACUCGCUGCUUGCGUUAGCUCGCUUUUCUUCGCUAGGGAUUUGUCUGCAAGGGGAAAAAUCGCUCCAAAUUCCUUUCUUUCGCUGAGUGGUGAAGAGUUAUUGCCCGUUUGGAAUCAAUUGAUAUAAACUCUAUACGUUACCAGUAAGAUAUUACGAUUCACGAAAUUAAUUGGAAAAAAAAAGAGUAGAACAAUUAAUUGAUUUAGUUAGUUUUGCAACAGAAAUCAAAUUAACAUUGAAAUUUGAUAUUUUUAGGACAGAUUCUAGUGUAAGUUUUUCAUUUAAGGUGUAGGUCCCAACCUCAUGUACUAUUGCUAUUUGAGAGUUGGACAUGUGAACUUUGAUUGGUUUAAUCAGUGUUCUCAUGUUUGAUAGUUGGAUUUAUGAUCCACACGUAUAUUUAAUUAUCUGUGGCUUCAUUAUCAAUCACUCAUUCAUAUUUUUCAUUUACUGUUGAGAUGAAACAGUAAGAUGUUAUACCUGUAUUUUCUAUGUUUUGAGUUGAAGGUUUUUCUGUUGUACAUUAUUGCUCUUCCUACGUUUGCAGAGUAUCUUACUUUUGGUUUAUUUUGUUUUUCCAGGAGUAUCAUUAGCUGGUCAAUCGCCACCAGUAGCAGUUGCC